CACACACUCCCGGGAUCAAAGCGAUCCUGUGACCCGGGAUCUCAUGGCAUAUGACAAGAGAGUGAAUCCUCCCCGAAUCUCAUUCUAUCCUUCUUUCGAAUUAUAGCAGACACAGACACUUUCAUCGGUGGCCUCUACAUGUAUUACAUUCAAUGUGCACCCCAUGUCCUUUGUGGCUGUAUCUUCACCCUUUUCCUUGUGGUUCAUUCGGGGCCUUCACCAUGGGCCUUUAUGCAAGGCACGUGUACAGUGAGGUCAUCAGUUCAACAGCUCCCUCUUUCGUUUAAAAUCAGAUGGCGCCCCAGCUUCACACCCAGACACUUCAGCUUUCAAUGCACCAGCUCCAUAUAACACACAGUUCGAAAGGAUGCAGCUGAUGAAAGGUGGUGCUUAUCUCCAAGAAGGGGCUCCACCUCCCAGAAAUACAGUCUUCCACUGGAGUGGCACAUGGGGUCGGGAGUCUUCCCUUUAAAGGUAAUACCUAAUAUUUCCUUUCAAUUCUUGACCCUAGCCUUCAAAGAGGCUUUUAUUAAGAUACAGCAUUGUUAGUUAAACUAUUUCUCUUGCAAAUCGGUAAUCUGCCCUCAUUUACCUACUCAGACAAUUACUUUUAUUUUUGUGAGGUAAUGGAAGUAAUGCUGUUGGCCUUCUAAAGCAUGUUGGAUAAUGAUCAAUCAUUAAAGAUAGUUUUGUCUGUGGCGAAAUUUGUUUUUACUUUACUCGUAUCUUUUUCUCCUGCACACACAUUAAGGAGUGGGAGCUGAGCAGCUCUUGGUUUUGAAUGGCAGUGGCACUCAUAUCAGUGAGCAUAAUGUUUACUCUUGUGGGGCAGGCGACUAAUACAUCAUGUCGUAGGGGAAUUUUGAUUAAGUCAUGUGUGUUUAUUUUAUUGUGUUUGCAGUGUAUUAUCAGGUUGUGAACAGUGCCAGCAAGGCUCCAUAAGCCAGUUUGGGACCAGCUAAAUGUCCAGAAGGUGGUUAAUUGAAGUGAUGGGUUCAAGCGUCCACACAGAGCAGCUCUGAAAGCAGCUGACAUGCUGACUUUAAUCCAGCUUUUGUCAACACUGAAAGGGGCUUCAAUGUCAUGCUUUGCUGUGUCAGUUGACAGCAAAACCUGCCACACCCAUCACAUUUCACCGACCUGA